rnacentral:rRNA from 1 species
CGUGUAGGCGGGUAUAUAAGUCAGAAGUGAAAUCCUAUAGCUUAACUAUAGAACUGCUUUUGAAACUGUAUACCUAGAAUGUGGGAGAGGUAGAUGGAAUUUCUGGUGUAGGGGUAAAAUCCGUAGAGAUCAGAAGGAAUACCGAUUGCGAAGGCGAUCUACUGGAACAUUAUUGACGCUGAGACGCGAAAGCGUGGGGAAGCAAACAG